rnacentral:rRNA from 1 species
UACGUAGGCAGCAAGCGUUGUUCGGAAUUACUGGGCGUAAAGAGUGUGUAGGUGGUGUCGUAAGUUUGGUGUGAAAUCUCCCGGCUUAACUGGGAGGGUGCGCCGAAGACUGCGAUGCUGGAGUAUGGGAGAGGAAAGCGGAAUUCCUGGUGUAGCGGUGAAAUGCGUAGAUAUCAGGAGGAACACCUGCGGUGUAGACGGCUUUCUGGACCAUUACUGACACUGAGACACGAAAGCGUGGGUAGCAAACAGGAUUAGAAACCCCCGUAGUC